GACGAACGCUGGCGGCGUGCUUAACACAUGCAAGUCGAACGGAAAGGCCCUGCCUUUGUGGGUUGCUCGAUUGGCGAACGGGUGAGUAACACGUGAGUAACCUGCCCUUGACUUUGUGGUAACUUCAGGAAACUGGGGCUCUUACCGGAUAGGAUCUCCUGCUGCAUGUUGUGGGUUGGAAAGUUUCGGCGGUUGGGGAUGGACUCGCGGCUUAUCAGCUUGUUUGUGUGGUAGUGGCUUACCAAGGCUGUGACGGGUAGCCGGCCUGAGAGGGUGACCGGGCACAUUGGGACUGAGAGAGGGCGCAGAAGCCUACGGGAGGCAGCAGGGGGGAAUAUUGCACAAUGGGCGGAAGCGUGAGGCAGAAACGCCGCGUGCGUGAUAACGGGCUUCGGGUGGAAAACCGAUUUCGAAUGUAACGAAGAGUGAGUGACGGUAAUGGGUAAAGAAGCAACGGCUAACUACGUG
rnacentral:rRNA from 1 species